rnacentral:sRNA from 1 species
CCCGGAUCGCUAAUCAAAGUAGAACCUGAAUCCACUCCGUAAACAUGAACUGUCUGAAGAUCUGCGGCUUUUUCUUCGCGCUGAUUGCGGCUUUGGCAACGGCGGAGGCUGGCACCCAAGUCAUUAAUGCUGGCGGACAUACGUUGAUUCAAACUGAUCGCACGCAGUAUAUUCGCAAAAACU